GCCUGUCUAAUUUUGAUUAUGAUUUAAAAGUACUCUAUAAUUUUUUAUUUUGGACCUACAUUUGGCCAUCCGUUUGUGGGUGGUAAGCAGUAGAAAUAUUCAAAGUGACAAUUGAGCAGUGAGGAAUUCCUUCCAAAAACAGCUAAUAAAAAUGGCAUCUCUAUCACUAUUAAUAGAAGCAUAGAAUCUAUAGAGCUUAAAAAUAUUGUCCAGAAAGAUG
rnacentral:lncRNA from 1 species